rnacentral:rRNA from 1 species
UGGCUCAGAGCGAACGCUGGCGGCAGGCUUAACACAUGCAAGUCGAACGGGUAUCUUCGGAUACUAGUGGCAGACGGGUGAGUAACACGUGGGAACGUACCUUUCGGUUCGGAAUAAUACAGGGAAACUUGUACUAAUACCGGAUACGCCCUUCGGGGGAAAGAUUUAUCGCCGAUAGAUCGGCCCGCGUCUGAUUAGCUAGUUGGUGAGGUAAUGGCUCACCAAGGCGACGAUCAGUAGCUGGUCUGAGAGGAUGAUCAGCCACA